rnacentral:lncRNA from 1 species
GGGUUGGGAUGUUGGUGUCGGCUGGGGGCUGCUGUGAGGCGCUUGGUAGCACCCAGUCCUGAUACUCUCCAGUUACCCGGUAGGCGGGGCUCGGACACAAAGAAAAGAGAUCUUUGGGGGCUUGGAUGGAGGAACAGGAAAAGAGGAGCCAGGCUUUUUUGGAAAAUUGGCGGCAGCGGUGGCAUACGGGAAACUGAAAUCUUUAUCUAAUCUCAUCCUUUGUAUAUUCGUCUUGGAUUUGCUGAAGAAAAUUAAAAGGCCAGGCCUACCACUCCUAUGGCACAGUAUUGAUGAGAGACAUCAGUGGAGCUCCCCACCUCCACCCCAGGCUUGGAACUUAGGGAAUGACUGGUUUUUGUCAUUUCACACAACAGCUGAAGGAUUCUGUCCCCACCUCGUCCUCUGUGAAGUCUGCUGGACGUACCUGCCAGAAUCUUCUGAAGAUGACGUUUGCUGAACACUGACCCACAGGGGUUUGAUGGAUUAUUGACAAUGAGACAAGCUGUCUUUUCAUCAAUUAGAUAUUCCAGUUGUUUCAGGUCAAUUUCCCAAGAUUUCUCUGGCUGGAGAGAAAGAAAGGAUGAGACUAAGAUGAUUCUGAAACAUUUAGGGGGAAUCCUCACUUAUCUCAAGGGUCCAAUGUAAGCAAUAAAGUCUGUCUCUGGCUUCAACCACCAAAAAAAAA